GCAACAAGACCCUUUACCUACUGAGUCACCUCACCAGCCCCCUCUUUAAACAGUAAGAAGAGUCCAAAGAAUUCCUCUCCUGGCCCAUUUCCCAUCCACUCUUCCCAACGAGAGGUUGAGCCAGGUCGGAUAUAAACCCAAGUCAGGAGAACACUGCUUCCUCUUAAGGAUACUCUGCUAGCUGUGCCCACUAAUUCCCGUGGCUGUGAAGCUCACACUGACCAGACAGCAGCAGAGACCAUGUGUUGUAAAUGAUCAAACUCAGAGACUUAUUGGAGUGGAAUGGGUGGGAGAGGCGUUCAAAGAGCACUUCCUGUCGGUUAGUAAAAGCACAUCAAUAAAAUAGAUCAAUGACUGCUUGUUUUCUAGGAAUCUGCUUCAGAUUCAGCAAAAGUCUCCUUAGUUAUGCUACAUUUCUGAUAGAAUGGACUAGAAAGAAUAUGGCUUACAUUAGCAUAAAAUAUCUUCAAUAUGACUGUUCCUCUAGGAUGCUGUGACUUUCCCCACGGACCAAAAUGCAGAAGAAGAAGAAAAAAAACAGUCUUAUAUAGCCUAAGUUGGCUUCUCACUCUCUGUACAGCUGAAGAUAGAUUUGAACUCUGGAUCCUCCGCCCCCACCUCCCAAGUGCGCCAUUACAGCCAGAAGCUGGAAAGAACCCAGAUGUCCU
rnacentral:sRNA from 1 species